GAAGCGUGUUAUAUUUGGGGUAGAAAUGUGUUAUUUCCCAGCGAAAAGUGGUAUUUUCGGGAAGGAAGUGCAGAAUUUUUGGGAGACAGGUGGUAUUUUUGGAUGAAAAUGCAUGAUUUUCGAGAGAAAAGUGGUAUAUUUGGGGUAGAAAUGCGUUAUUACCCAGCGACAAGUGGUGUUUUCGCGCAGAAAAUGCGUGAUUUUCGUGAGAAAAGUGGUAUUUCUCGAGAGAAAAUGCGUGAUUUUGGGGUGAAAGGUGGUAUAUUUGGGGGAGAAAUGUGUUAUUUCCCAGCCAAAAGUGGUAUUUUCGGGUAGAAAAUGCGUGAUGUUUGGACAGAGGUGCUAUUUUUCGAGGGGGAAAGGCGUGAUUUUCAAGCAAAAACUUGUAGUUUCGGAGUGACAAUGCAUGGUUUUCGUUAGCAAAGUCGUAUUUUACUAAAGAAAAUGCGUGAUUUUCUUGUGAAAGGUGGUAUUUUCGGGGUGAAAAUGCAUGAUUU
ensembl:lncRNA